rnacentral:rRNA from 1 species
AUACGAAGGUGGCAAGCGUUGUUCGGAAUCACUGGGCUUAAAGCGCACGCAGGCGGAACAGAAAGUGUCUUGUGAAAGCCCCCGGCUUAACCGGGGAAUUGCUUGGCAAACUUCUGUUCUUGAGGCAAGUAGAGGUACAUGGAACUCUUGGUGGAGCGGUGGAAUGCGUAGAUAUCAAGAGGAACGCCAAUGGUGAAGACAGUGUACUGGGCUUGUCCUGACGCUGAGGUGCGAAAGCGUGGGGAGCGAACGGGAUUAGAAACCCCAGUAGUCC